UACGAGAGGUGCUAGCGUUAUUCGGAAUUAUUGGGCGUAAAGGGCGCGUAGGCGGUCUAUUAAGUUUAUUGUUAAAUCCUCUGGCUUAACCGGAGAAAAGCAAUAAAAACUGAUAAACUAGAGGGUGAGAGAGAGAAGUGGAAUUCCCGGAGUAGCGGUAAAAUGCGUAGAUCUCGGGAGGAACACCAAUGGCGAAGGCUGCUUCUUGGCUCACAACUGACGCUGAGGCGCGAAAGCGUGGGGAGCAAACAGG
rnacentral:rRNA from 1 species